AUCGCUUCUCAGCCAUUUGGCUAAGAUCAAGUGUAGUAUCUGUUCUUAUUAGUUUAAUAUCUGAUAUUACUGUAUCUGAGAAAGCAAUAUUAAGUGCAUUUUUAGAACUAGGAGAUGGACUGUGAGCUUGUUCUAUCUACUACAUGCAUCAUUCUGGUAUUGCAGUACUUCCAGGAAAGGUGUACUACCG